rnacentral:rRNA from 1 species
UACAGAGGGUGCUAGCGUUGUUCGGAAUCAUUGGGCGUAAAGGGCGUGUAGGCGGUUUGUUAAGUCAUGUGUGAAAUCCCUCGGCUCAACCGGGGAACUGCGUCCGAUACUGGCGAGGCUUGAAUCCGGGAGAGGGAUGUGGAAUUCCAGGUGUAGCGGUGAAAUGCGUAGAUAUCUGGAGGAACACUAGUGGCGAAGGCGGCAUCCUGGACCGGCAUUGACGCUGAGGCGCGAAAGCUAGGGUAGCAAACGGG